CGGCACGGGUGAGUAACACGUAUCCAACCUGCCGUCACUUUUGGACAGCCUUCUGAAAGGAAGAUUAAUACAAGAUGGCAUCAUGAGUCCGCAUGUUCACAUGAUUAAAGGUAUUCCGGUAGACGAUGGGGAUGCGUUCCAUUAGAUAGUAGGCGGGGUAACGGCCCACCUAGUCUUCGAUGGAUAGGGGUUCUGAGAGGAAGGUCCCCCACAUUGGAACUGAGACACGGUCCAA
rnacentral:rRNA from 1 species